AAUAUUUGACGCCGUUGACUUUUUUAAGUUAUGUUUGACCGUUCGUCUUAUUCAAAAAAUUUAAGUAAUUAUUAAUUCUUUUUCUAUCAUUUGAUUCAUUGUUAAAUAUACUUUUAUGUAUACAUAUAGUUUUACAUAUUUUACAAAAAAAAUUUUAAAUAAGACGAAUGGUCAAACAUGGCUAAAAAAGUUAACGGCGUCAAACAAU
rnacentral:pre_miRNA from 1 species